rnacentral:rRNA from 1 species
GACGAACGCUGGCGGCGUGCUUAACACAUGCAAGUCGAACGAAGAGCGAUGGAAGCUUGCUUCUAUCAAUCUUAGUGGCGAACGGGUGAGUAACGCGUAAUCAACCUGCCCUUCAGAGGGGGACAACAGUUGGAAACGACUGCUAAUACCGCAUACGAUCUAAUCUCGGCAUCGAGGAUAGAUGAAAGGUGGCCUCUACAUGUAAGCUAUCACUGAAGGAGGGGAUUGCGUCUGAUUAGCUAGUUGGAGGGGUAACGGCCCACCAAGGCGAUGAUCAGUAGCCGGUCUGAGAGGAUGAACGGCCACAUUGGGACUGAGACACGGCCCAGACUCCUACGGGAGGCAGCAGUGGGGAAUCUUCCGCAAUGGACGAAAGUCUGACGGAGCAACGCCGCGUGAGUGAUGACGGCCUUCGGGUUGUAAAGCUCUGUUAAUCGGGACGAAAGGCCUUCUUGCGAAUAGUGAGAAGGAUCGACGGUACCGGAAUAGAAAGCCACGGCUAACUACGUG